rnacentral:lncRNA from 1 species
AAAAAUGCAAGCCCAUUUACUGAACUCCCACACAUCUUAAGCCCUACACAGCUAUUUGGAAUGGAGUGUAAAAUCACACUAGGAAGUUUAGCACUCAUAGUCUAGUUGUCAAAAGGAAUAAUGCACAAAAGAUGGACCUUUACCAGGCUAGUCACCAGAGAAUUGCUAUAGUUUCCUUCCCAAUACAAGUCUUCAGAUGUGCCUAAGCUUUCCCUUCUUGGAUUUACAGAUUCUUAACUGACUUGCCACAUCACUGCCACAAGAACAACGUUCUCUGGAAUAAUUUUUACACUUCUAGUGCUACUCCCAGCCCAAAGCAAGAAGUACAAAGUUUGUCUCUAAGGGCUGCUCUUCAGUACAGGGAGACUGACCCUGCUGCAACCGAGUGCUCUCUGGUCGAGCCCAGUAAUCCAGCUCUCCGAGAAGAGUAAGGGAAGUCGACUGGAGAGCAUCUCCCAUCGACGCAGCACAGUGAAGACUCCGUGGGAAGUCAACGUAAGCUACAUCGACUUCAACUAUGUUAUUCACAUAGCUGGAGUAGUGUAACUUAGGUUGACUUAACCCUGUAGUGAAGACAAGC